rnacentral:tRNA from 1 species
GCAUCCCAUGCCGUUAGGGACGAGAUCGGGCCCGCAGCGCCCGAUUGGGCGGUAGCCGUCCGCUCAUAACGCCGGUUCAACCCGGGCCAGGUGCG